UACGUAGGGUGCGAGCGUUGUCCGGAAUUACUGGGCGUAAAGAGCUCGUAGGUGGUUUGUCGCGUUGUUCGUGAAAACCCACAGCUCAACUGUGGGCUUGCGGUCGAUACGGGCAGGCUAGAGUUCGGUAGGGGAGACUGGAGUUCCUGGUGUAGCGGUGAAAUGCGCAGAUAUCAGGAGGAACACCGGUGGCGAAGGCGGCACUCUGGGCCGGAACUGACGCUGAGGAGCGAAAGCGUGGGGAGCGAACAGG
rnacentral:rRNA from 1 species